rnacentral:rRNA from 1 species
GAUGAACGCUGGCGGCGUGCCUAAUACAUGCGAGUCGAGCGAACGGACGAGAAGCUUGCUUCUCUGAUGUUAGCGGCGGACGGGUGAGUAACACGUGGAUAACCUACCUAUAAGACUGGGAUAACUUCGGGAAACCGGAGCUAAUACCGGAUAAUAUUUUGAACCGCAUGGUUCAAAAGUGAAAGACGGUCUUGCUGUCACUUAUAGAUGGAUCCGCGCUGCAUUAGCUAGUUGGUAAGGUAACGGCUUACCAAGGCAACGAUGCAUAGCCGACCUGAGAGGGUGAUCGGCCACACUGGAACUGAGAAACGGUCCAGACUCCUACGGGAGGCGGCAGUAGGGAAUCUUCCGCAAUGGGCGAAAGCCUGACGGAGCAACGCCGCGUGAGUGAUGAAGGUCUUCGGAUCGUAAAACUCUGUUAUUAGGGAAGAACAUAUGUGUAAGUAACUGUGCACAUCUUGACGGUACCUAAUCAGAAAGCCACGGCUAACUACGUG